rnacentral:lncRNA from 1 species
UGCAGGCACGAAAUGGAUCACUAAUAUGAUAUGAAAUAAUAACUAGAAUGAUUUUUUUUUUUGAAGGAUGGAUAUGCAAACAAAGGAAACAGAUUCAAAAUGGCAAUUUUUAUGGGAUUUUUGAUUAUGAAAACAAAACAAAAAGGAAACUAACAAGAAUUUCGAAACUAAGUGCAAGUAACAUGAAUCAAACACAUCUUUCUUUUUCUUUUUCGUGGUGUUAAAAUAUGAUGAACAGCAAGAACAAAAAAAUGAAGAAACAAAACUUGAAACAAAGACUGUUUUUAUGGGUUUUCGGUUUAUAAGAUGGAAAAACAAAUGCAAGCAAUAUGAAUGAUUUUUUUUUUUUUUUUUGAAUGAAAAUAACAAACUUAUGAAACAAAUAUGGUAUGCACGAAAUUAAUAAAAUGCUAGGCCUUUUUAUUUUUAUUUUAUGCAAGAUUCAAACAAGAAACAAAUAUGGAAUGCAGAUUUUUUUAUUUUUUUUAAUGAAUGCACACAAUCUAAAAAUGGCAAGUGGAGCUGGGGAAUGAAUGCAAACACAAUAUGAGAUUUCUUUUUCAAAUUUUCGUGAAUCAAAUGCAAGAAACUUUUUCUCUUUUGUUUUUCUUUUCUUAAGAACAAUAACAAUGCAAAAACUGUUUUUAUGGCUUUUUGAUUUACUGAUGAAACAAAUGCAAGGAAGAUGAAUGAUGCAAGGAUAGAAUGGACCUGACUCAAGAACCUUUCGGCUCUGAUACCAAAUGUUACAGGGUGGAAGCUGGGUCGCCCAAAUGGUUGUUGGAGGUUCAAAUUGGAUCAACCAAAGAUGUGACCGGUUGGUCGAUAUGGUCUGAAAUCGAUUGUAAGACCUGAAACAAAUGAAAGAUGAAUGAGAUAUGAAUGUUAUGAAGAAUAAACUAAGAUAAAUAAACAAAGGUAAAGGAUAGAUAUGGCGGAAUCAAGCUGCUGGAUGUGUAUCACUCUCAGCUUGAUCAAAAGAUGGAUUGAAGUGGAUUUGCGGAUGAAUGUUUGAUUGAAUCUCUCAAUCUGAUGGAUGAUGGAAACGAUGUGAUUGGCUCUCUCAAUCUGUGUACUGAGCUUGUUUGAUUUUCACAAACAAACUAGAAUCACAAAAUCAAUAGAACAACAAAGA